UAGGUUGCCAGCACUGAGAGUCAUAUCUGAUCAAACCAUAUACCCACACAGUUCUGAAGAAGCAGGAGUGCCAGAAUCCCAAACACAGAUCAGCAAAGACAAACAAUGAUCUUCAAUCAAAAUAAAUUGCUGAGUUGACCAAAGGAAGGGACUCCCUUUUGAGGGAGUUAUCAGAAUACAAGAAGAAAAGCAGUGCUGGGACAGAUCAUGGCUUUUCAGCUGACCUAAGCGACUCCGAGUUAUCUGACUCAUCAGAGACAUUCAAGCUUCACCCAAACGAGAGGACUCGCUCACUGAUCAAUAGGACAGACGUCUGCAAAACCCCCGAACCUUCCCUUCGCUGUAACUCUCCCCGCUCUCCCAUAAAGUUGGUGUUCCUGUCAGUGUCGGAGCCUCCGUAUGAGAUGCUUUGUUAGGAAUCAGCAGGGAGUCGAAGGGUAUGAAAGAUGAAGGAUGAUGCAAAGCACAGAAGUCACCCAGUCCUCAGGGACUAAUCAUACCUCCUGAGCUGGCGGAUGUCUGUCGAGGGGCAGCUUCCUGGAGCUAACCAAUCAGAACAGGUCGGGCUCACUGUGAGGAGGGCAUGAGGGGCUGCAAAGAGGGCCAGUGUGAGUUCAAUCUUCAGUCCAUCCAGAAAAGAACAGGAAAAGCCAAGGAAAAUCUUCAUUCACAUCCUACAAGCUGGGCAACAUCCACACAACAACUUUUAAGUG